rnacentral:rRNA from 1 species
UGGGGAAUAUUGCACAAUGGGCGAAAGCCUGAUGCAGCAACGCCGCGUGAGUGAUGACGGUCUUCGGAUUGUAAAGCUCUGUCUUUGGGGACGAUAAUGACGGUACCCAAGGAGGAAGCCACGGCUAACUACGUGCCAGCAGCCGCGGUAAUACGUAGGUGGCAAGCGUUGUCCGGAUUUACUGGGCGUAAAGGGUGCGUAGGCGGACCUUUAAGUGAGAUGUGAAAUCCCCGAGCUUAACUUGGGGGCUGCAUUUCAAACUGGAGGCUAGGGGGGCAGAGGAGGGGGGGGAAAUUCUUAGGGAAGCGGUGAAAUGGGUGGGAAUAAGAAGGACAACAAGUGGGAAGGCCGACCCUCUGAACUGUACUGACGCUGAGGCACGAAAGCGUGGGGAGCAAACAG